rnacentral:rRNA from 1 species
GAUGAACGCUGGCGGCGUGCCUAAUACAUGCAAGUCGAGCGAACGGACGAGAAGCUUGCUUCUCUGAUGUUAGCGGCGGACGGGUGAGUAACACGUGGAUAACCUACCUAUAAGACUGGGAUAACUUCGGGAAACCGGAGCUAAUACCGGAUAAUAUUAUGAACCGCAUGGUUCAAAAGUGAAAGACGGUCUUGCUGUCACUUAUAGAUGGAUCCGCGCUGCAUUAGCUAGUUGGUAAGGUAACGGCUUACCAAGGCAACGAUGCAUAGCCGACGUGAGAGGGUGAUCGGCCACACGGGAACGGAGACACCGACAAGGCGCCUACGGGACGCAGCAGUAGGGAACGGUACGCAGUGGGCGGGAGCCUGACGGAGCAGCGCGGAGUGAGUGAUGACGGUGUUGCGAGCGGGAUACUGUGUUAUUAGGGAAGAACAGAUGUGUAAGGAGCUGAGGCCAGAGUGACGGUACUGGGUCAGAAAGCACCGGCUAACUACGUG